rnacentral:rRNA from 1 species
UACGGAGGGUGCAAGCGUUAUCCGGAUUCACUGGGUUUAAAGGGUGCGUAGGUGGGCAGGUAAGUCAGUGGUGAAAUCCUGUAGCUUAACUACAGAACUGCCAUUGAUACUAUUUGUCUUGAAUACUCUGGAGGUGAGCGGAAUAUGUCAUGUAGCGGUGAAAUGCUUAGAUAUGACAUAGAACACCCAUUGCGAAGGCAGCUCACUACGGAAAUAUUGACGCUGAGGCACGAAAGCGUGGGGAU